CCCCAUCCCCCACCAACAAAAUGAAUGCAUCUUCUGAGUAGAUUCCAUAUUCUUGUCUCCAAGUUGUUAUUUCUAAUGUUAUGUGUUGUGUAUGUCAGCUGGUAGAGGUGUGCUGCUUACUAAUAUAUUUUACCUUCAACAUUUUGUUUUUUCUAGAAUUUUUUAAUUAUCUUUUUUCACUUAGUUGUUGCAAGUCUGAUUAAAUCUGUCAUAUUAUGAACAACCAAUGAAUUUGUCAGUGUUAAAACAUUAAUACAAAUGUUGUGUUUUUUUAGCAGCACAUUCCUUGCUUUGUUUGGACAAUGUAUGAAGCAGUAUUUUCUUUUUGGUCAUGUACUUAGAAUGCAUUUAGAUGAGGGUUAGGUUUUUUUUUUUUGGUUUGUUUGGUUAGUCAUUAUUUGAAUCUUAUCAAAACCCAAACUGUAGACUGAGUGUGAUGGCUUGUAUUGGUUCAUCUUAACAAUCAAAUCCUAUCAGUAGCACAGGUGUAAUAUAUUCCAUUGAAAUGAGCUAACAGCUAAGCACAAGCACAAAUUAUUCUGUAUAUAUUAUAUAUGUGUACCUGAUUAAGCAGUUGAAUUAUUUCCAGAAUGUUUCUUUAUUCUAUUGUAUCUGCUAACAUAUAGCAUUGUUUGUGCAAUAAACUAUUUUAUUUAGUCGGUGGUUUUGUUUUAUUGGCCAUUAACUUAAUGUAGAAUUGUAUGGCUUUGAGCUGGCUGUUCUUGUUACUUGAAUCCUAAGACACAAUACAAAGUUUGGCCUCAACAUUUGAGAACUAACAAAAAGCCUUCAGUUGGUUUUUUUUUUUUUGCUUUUGCUUUUAUUUUGUUGAUUUGUAUUUAACAAACUUGAAUCAAUAUUAUUACUACAAAAUAACUCAAAUUUUUUUUGUAUUCUAAGUCUCAUUUUUAAAAGACUCAAUUUCAAUUGUUUGCAUGAUAUUUUCACAUUAUACACACAUACUGAUAGAAAUAUAUAUAUAUAUAUAUAUU